AUUGAACGCUGGCGGCAUGCUUUACACAUGCAAGUCGAACGGUAACAGGGUACUUGCACCGCUGACGAGUGGCGAACGGGUGAGUAAUGCGUCGGAACGUGCCGAGUAGUGGGGGAUAACGCAGCGAAAGUUGUGCUAAUACCGCAUACGUACUGAGGUAGAAAGUGGGGGACCUUCGGGCCUCACGCUAUUCGAGCAGCCGACGUCUGAUUAGCUAGUAGGUGAGGUAAAGGCUCACCUAGGCGACGAUCAGUAGCGGGUCUGAGAGGAUGAUCCGCCACACUGGGACUGAGACACGGCCCAGACUCCUACGGGGGGCAGCAGUGGGGAAUUUUGGACAAUGGGCGAAAGCCUGAUCCAGCCAUGCCGCGUGUCUGAAGGAGGCCUUCGGGUUGUAAAGGACUUUUGUCAGGGAGGAAUCCCUAGUGCUAAUAACACUGGGGGAUGACAGUACCUGAAGAAUAAGCACCGGCUAACUACGUGCCAGCAGCCGCAGUAA
rnacentral:rRNA from 1 species